GAUCAUGGCUCAGAUUGAACGCCGGCGGCAUGCUUUACACAUGCAAGUCGAACGGCAGCAUAGAGAGCUUGCUCUCUGAUGGCGAGUGGCGAACUGGUGAGUAAUACAUCGGAACGUGUCCUGUUGUGGGGGAUAACUACUCGAAAGAGUAGCUAAUACCGCAUAAGACCUAAGGUGAAGCGGGGACCGUCGGUCGUCGCGCAGUUGGUAGGCGGCCGGACGUGACUGAUUAG
rnacentral:rRNA from 1 species